rnacentral:rRNA from 1 species
CCUACGGGAGGCAGCAGUAGGGAAUAUUGGGCAAUGGAGGCAACUCUGACCCAGCCAUGCCGCGUGCAGGAUGAAGGCGUUAUGCGUUGUAAACUGCUUUUAUAUAGGAAGAAAUAGACCUUGCGAGGUAAGUUGACGGUACUAUAUGAAUAAGCACCGGCUAACUCCGUGCCAGCAGCCGCGGUAAUACGGAGGGUGCAAGCGUUGUCCGGAUUUAUUGGGUUUAAAGGGUGCGUAGGCGGUUUAUUAAGUCAGUGGUGAAAGACGGUCGCUCAACGAUUGCAGUGCCAUUGAUACUGGUAGACUUGAGUGUGAUUGAGGUAGCUGGAAUGGAUAGUGUAGCGGUGAAAUGCAUAGAUAUUAUCCAGAACACCAAUUGCGUAGGCAAGUUACUAAGUCACAACUGACGCUGAGGCACAAAAGUGUGGGGUAUCAAACAGGAUUAGAUACCCUGGUAGUCCACACUGUAAACGAUGAUAACUAACUGUUGGCUUUUGGGUCAGUGGUACAGNGAAAUCGUUAAGUUAUCCNCUGGAGUACGCGCGACGAGAACGUAAAGUAGAGUAGAGNGNGAGAGAGCGACGGACGACGACGAGGGAGGAGG